rnacentral:rRNA from 2 species
UGGCUCAGGACGAACGCUGGCGGCGUGCCUAAUACAUGCAUGUCGAACGAAGCUUUCUUUCACCGAAUGCUUGCAUUCACCGAAAGAAGCUUAGUGGCGAACGGGUGAGUAACACGUAGGCAACCUGCCCAAAAGAGGAGGAUAACACUUGGAAACAGGUGCUAAUACCGCAUAACCAUGAACACCGCAUGAUGUUCAUGUAAAAGACGGCUUUUGCUGUCACUUUUGGAUGGGCCUGCGGCGUAUUAACUUGUUGGUGGGGUAACGGCCUACCAAGGUGAUGAUACGUAGCCGAACUGAGAGGUUGAUCGGCCACAUUGGGACUGAGACACGGCCCAAACUCCUACGGGAGGCAGCAGUAGGGAAUCUUCCACAAUGGACGAAAGUCUGAUGGAGCAACGCCGCGUGAAUGAAGAAGGCCUUCGGGUCGUAAAAUUCUGUUGUCAGAGAAGAACGUGCGUGAGAGUAACUGUUCACGUAUUGACGGUAUCUGACCAGAAAGCCACGGCUAACUACGUGCCAGCAGCCGCGGUAAUACGUAGGUGGCGAGCGUUGUCCGGAUUUAUUGGGCGUAAAGGGAACGCAGGCGGUCUUUUAAGUCUGAUGUGAAAGCCUUCGGCUUAACCGAAGUAGUGCAUUGGAAACUGGAAGACUUGAGUGCGGAAGAGGAGAGUGGAACUCCAUGUGUAGCGGUGAAAUGCGUAGAUAUAUGGAAGAACACCAGUGGCGAAAGCGGCUCUCUGGUCUGUAACUGACGCUGAGGUUCGAAAGCGUGGGUAGCAAACAGGAUUAGAUACCCUGGUAGUCCACGCCGUAAACGAUGAGUGCUAAGUGUUGGAGGGUUUCCGCCCUUCAGUGCUGCAGCUAACGCAUUAAGCACUCCGCCUGGGGAGUACGGUCGCAAGACUGCAACUCAAAUGAAUUGACGGA